UGCAUUCAUCUGGAAAGACAGGACUAAAGUCAGCCUGAUUUUAGUGAGUCAAGAGGGGAGGAAGCACACAAGGAAGCUUGUCUUCUUACUGCCUCAGUAAUGAAGCAGCAAAUAUGUCUUUUCUGGACCUGAAGGGGAGGCCUGCAGGGUCACAUCUGGCUGAUGCAGCAACCACAACAACCUCACAAAGACAAGACCCAGAACCGGGAGCAACAGCAACAAAUCAGAGCCGGCCUCUUCUACCCUAGGUUCCAAAGACACUACAUUCUCCUGGCCUUCGAUGGGCAGCUCUGAGCUCCAGCUCAGUUUGGCCAUUACCUGCAGCAUCCCUUGGAUCCCUGCCAGGGCCCUUAUCACUUG
rnacentral:lncRNA from 1 species